UACGAAGGGUGCAAGCGUUACUCGGAAUUACUGGGCGUAAAGGGCUCAUAGGCGGCCAACUAAGUCGGACGUGAAAUCCCCAGGCUCAACCUGGGAACUGCGUCUGAUACUGGAUGGCUUGAAUCCGGGAGAGGGAUGCAGAAUUCCAGGUGUAGCGGUGAAAUGCGUAGAUAUCUGGAGGAAUACCGGUGGCGAAGGCGGCAUCCUGGACCGGCAUUGACGCUGAGGAGCGAAAGCCAGGGGAGCAAACGGG
rnacentral:rRNA from 1 species